GACGAACGCUGGCGGCGUGCUUAACGCAUGCAAGUCGAACGGAAAGGCCCUGCUUUUGUGGGGUGCUCGAGUGGCGAACGGGUGAGUAACACGUGAGUAACCUGCCCUUGACUUUGGGAUAACUUCAGGAAACUGGGGCUAAUACCGGAUAGGAGCUCCUGCUGCAUGGUGGGGGUUGGAAAGUUUCGGCGGUUGGGGAUGGACUCGCGGCUUAUCAGCUUGUUGGUGGGGUAGUGGCUUACCAAGGCUUUGACGGGUAGCCGGCCUGAGAGGGUGACCGGCCACAUUGGGACUGAGAUACGGCCCAGACUCCUACGGGAGGCAGCAGUGGGGAAUACUGCACAAUGGGCGGAAGCCUGAUGCAGCAACGCCGCGUGCGGGAUGACGGCCUUCGGGUUGUAAACCGCUUUCGCCUGUGACGAAGCGUGAGUGACGGUAAUGGGUAAAGAAGCACCGGCUAACUACGUGCCAGCAGCCGCGGUGAUACGUAGGGUGCGAGCGUUGUCCGGAUUUAUUGGGCGUAAAGGGCUCGUAGGUGGUUGAUCGCGUCGGAAGUGUAAUCUUGGGGCUUAACCCUGAGCGUGCUUUCGAUACGGGUUGACUUGAGGAAGGUAGGGGAGAAUGGAAUUCCUGGUGGAGCGGUGGAAUGCGCAGAUAUCAGGAGGAACACCAGUGGCGAAGGCGGUUCUCUGGGCCUUUCCUGACGCUGAGGAGCGAAAGCGUGGGGAGCGAACAGGCUUAGAUACCCUGGUAGUCCACGCUGUAAACGGUGGGUACUAGGUGUGGGGUCCAUUCCACGGGUUCCGUGCCGUAGCUAACGCUUUAAGUACCCCGCCUGGGGAGUACGGCCGCAAGGCUAAAACUCAAAGGAAUUGACGGGACCCCGCACAAGCGGCGGAGCAUGCGGAUUAAUUCGAUGCAACGCGUAGAACCUUACCUGGGUUUGACAUGGAUCGGGAGUGCUCAGAGAUGGGUGUGCCUCUUUUGGGGUCGGUUCACAGGUGGUGCAUGGCUGUCGUCAGCUCGUGUCGUGAGAUGUUGGGUUAAGUCCCGCAACGAGCGCAACCCUUGUUCACUGUUGCCAGCACGUUAUGGUGGGGACUCAGUGGAGACCGCCGGGGUCAACUCGGAGGAAGGUGGGGAUGACGUCAAGUCAUCAUGCCCCUUAUGUCCAGGGCUUCACGCAUGCUACAAUGGCUGGUACAGAGAGUGGCGAGCCUGUGAGGGUGAGCGAAUCUCGGAAAGCCGGUCUCAGUUCGGAUUGGGGUCUGCAACUCGACCUCAUGAAGUCGGAGUCGCUAGUAAUCGCAGAUCAGCAACGCUGCGGUGAAUACGUUCCCGGGGCU
rnacentral:rRNA from 1 species